UACGAAGGGGGGCUAGCGUUGCUCGGAAUUACUGGGCGUAAAGGGCGCGUAGGCGGCACUGUUAGUCAGGCGUGAAAGUCCUGGGGCUCAACCUGGGAACUGCGCUUGAUACGGCAGAGCUAGAGGAUGGAAGAGGGUCGCGGAAUUCCCAGUGUAGAGGUGAAAUUCGUAGAUAUUGGGAAGAACACCGGUGGCGAAGGCGGCGACCUGGUCCAUUACUGACGCUGAGGCGCGACAGCGUGGGGAGCAAACAGG
rnacentral:rRNA from 1 species